AUGGGGAUUUUGGGGUAAGAGUCUGGGUUUUAGGGUCUUGAAUUGGGUGUGGGGGCAUUGAGUUGGGGUUUGGGGUUAGAAAUGGGGAUUUUGGGGUCAGAAGUUUGAGUUUUAGGAUCUUUGAGUUGGAACUUGGGGCCAUGAGUUGGGGUUUGGGGGCUGGCAUUGGGGUUUGGGGAUAAAAAUGGGGAUUUUGGGUUAAGGAGAGUGAGUUUUGGGGUCUGGAGUUGGGUGUGGGGGCUGUGAGUUGGGUUUUGGGGUUGGCAAUAGGGAUUUUGGGGUAAGAGUCUGGGUUUUAGGGUCUUGAGUUGGGUGUGGGGGCCGUGAGUUGGGGUUUGGGGUCUGGCAUUGGGGUUUUGGGGUUGAGCAUUGGGGUUUUGGGGGUUAUGAAUGGAGAUUCUGGGGUAAGAAGUUCGGGUUUUGGGGUCCGGGGCCCUUGAUUUGGGGUUUGAGGUUGUAAAUACGGGUUUGGGGGUAAUUGCUUUUUGGGGUUCCCCAUUGCGGUUCCAUUUUGGGAUUCCCCAUUACUGUUGUGUGUUGGGGUUCCCCAUUGGGGUUCCAUUGUAGGGUUCCCCGUUGGGAUUCCCCAUUGAGGUUGGGGUUCCCCAUUAGGGUUCUGUGUUGGGGUUCCCCAUUGGGGUUUCCUUAUAGGGUUCCCCAUUGUGGUUCCCUUUUAGGAUUCUCCAUUGAGGUUGGGGUUCCCCGUUGUGGUUCCAUUUUAGGGUUCCCCAUUGGGGUUCCUUUUCAGGAUUGUCCAUUGAGCUUGGGGUUCCCCAUUAGGGUUCUGUGUUGGGGGUUCCCCAUAGGGGUUCCAUUUUCGGGUUCCCCAUUGGGAUCCCCCAUUGAGGUUGGGGUUCCCCAUUGGGGUUCUGUGUUGGGGUUCCCCAUUGGGGUUCUGUGUUGGGGUUCCCUACUGGGGUUCCAUUUUAGGGUUCCCCAUUGGGAUCCCCCGUUGAGGUUGGGGUUCUCCAUUGGGGUUCCAUUUUAGGGUUCCCCAUUGGAAUCCCCCAUUGAGGUUGCGGUUCCCCAUUGGGGUUCUGUGUUGGGGUUCCCCAUUGGGGUUCCAUUUUAGGGUUCCCCAUUGGAAUCCCCCAUUGAGGUUGGGGUUCCCCAUUAGGGUUCUGUGUUGGGGUUCCCCAUUGGGGUUCCAUUUUAGGGUUCCCCAUUGGGAUUCCCCAUUGAGGUUGGGGUUCCCCAUUGGGGUUCCCCAUUGGGAUUCCCCAUUGAGGU
rnacentral:lncRNA from 1 species